GACGAACGCUGGCGGCGUGCCUAAUACAUGCAAGUCGAACGCAGUGGGGACGGUUUAGUAACACGUGGGUAACCUCCCGUCAGAGGGGAUAACACGUGGAAAAAGGUGCUAAACCGAUACUGAUGGAUGGACCCGCGGGGCAUUAGCUAGUUGGUGAGGUAACGGCUCACCAAGGCCACGAUGCAUAGCCGAUCUGAGAGGGUGAUCGGCCACACUGGGACUGAGACACGGCCCAGACUCCUACGGGAGGCAGCAGUAGGGAAUCUUCCGCAAUGGGCGAAAGUCUGACCGAGCAACGCCGCGUGAGUGAAGAAGGUCUUCGGAUCGUAAAGCACUGUUGUCAGGGAAGCGUUAUCUAACCAGAAAGCCACGGCUAACUACGUGCCAGCAGCCGCGGUAAUUC
rnacentral:rRNA from 1 species